CGCUGGCGGCAUGCCUAAUACAUGCAAGUCGAACGGGGUGCUUGCACCCAGUGGCGAACGGGUGAGUAACACGUAUCUAAUCUACCUCUUAGUGGGGGAUAACAGUUGGAAACGACUGCUAAUACCGCAUACGACACCAUUAUGGCAUCAGAAGGUGUUAAAAGGUCCGUUUGGACCGCUAGGAGAUGAGGAUGCGGCGUAUUAGCUAGUAGGUGAGGUAAUGGCUCACCUAGGCGAUGAUACGUAGCCGAACUGAGAGGUUGAUCGGCCACAUUGGGACUGAGAUACGGCCCAGACUCCUACGGGAGGCAGCAGUAGGGAAUUUUUCACAAUGGGCGAAAGCCUGAUGAAGCAAUGCCGCGUGAGUGAUGAAGGUCUUCGGAUUGUAAAGCUCUGUUGUAAGGGAAGAAAUGCUAGAAGAGGAAAUGCUUCUAGUUUGACGGUACCUUACCAGAAAGCCACGGCUAACUAUGUGCCAGCAGCCGCGGUAAUACAUAGGUGGCAAGCGUUAUCCGGAUUUAUUGGGCGUAUAGGGUGCGUAGGUGGUUAGUUAAGUUUGAGGUUAAAUCCCAGGGCUCAACCCUGGUCCGCCUUGAAAACUGGCUAACUAGAAUACAGGAGAGGUAGAUGGAAUUCCAUGUGUAGCGGUGGAAUGCGUAGAUAUAUGGAGGAACACCAGUGGCGAAGGCGGUCUACUGGCCUGUGAUUGACACUGAGGCACGAAAGCGUGGGGAGCAAAUAGGAUUAGAUACCCUAGUAGUCCACGCCGUAAACGUUGAGUACUAAGUGUCGGCAAUUUGUCGGUGCUGCAGCUAACGCAUUAAGUACUCCGCCUGAGUAGUAUGCUCGCAAGAGUGAAACUCAAAGGAAUUGACGGGGACCCGCACAAGUGGUGGAGCAUGUGGUUUAAUUCGAAGCAACGCGAAGAACCUUACCAGGGCUUGACAUCCAGUGCAAAACUACAGAGAUGUAGUGGAGGCCAACAUUGAGACAGGUGGUGCAUGGUUGUCGUCAGCUCGUGCCGUGAGGUGUUGGGUUAAGUCCCGCAACGAGCGCAACCCCUAUCGUUAGUUACUAACAUUAAGUUGAGCACUUUAACGAGACUGCUAGUGUAAGCUAGAGGAAGGUGGGGAUGACGUCAAAUCAUCAUGCCCCUUAUGUCCUGGGCUACACACGUGCUACAAUGGCUGAUACAAAGAGUCGCAAUCCUGUGAGGGGGAGCUAAUCUCAAAAAGUCAGUCUCAGUUCGGAUUGAAGUCUGCAACUCGACUUCAUGAAGCCGGAAUCACUAGUAAUCGCGAAUCAGCAACGUCGCGGUGAAUACGUUCUCGGGUCUUGUACACACCGCCCGUCACACCAUGAGAGUUGGUAAUACCAGAAGCACGUAUCUUAACCGUAAGGAGAGAGCGUACCAAGGUAGGA
rnacentral:rRNA from 1 species